rnacentral:rRNA from 1 species
AUUGAACGCUGGCGGCAUGCCUUACACAUGCAAGUCGAACGGUAACAGGUCUUCGGAUGCUGACGAGUGGCGAACGGGUGAGUAAUACAUCGGAACGUGCCUAGUAGUGGGGGAUAACUACUCGAAAGAGUGGCUAAUACCGCAUGAGAUCUACGGAUGAAAGCAGGGGAUCGCAAGACCUUGUGCUACUAGAGCGGCCGAUGGCAGAUUAGGUAGUUGGUGGGAUAAAAGCUUACCAAGCCGACGAUCUGUAGCUGGUCUGAGAGGACGAUCAGCAACACUGGGACUGAGAAACGGCCCAGACUCCUACGGGAGGCAGCAGUGGGGAAUUUUGGACAAUGGGCGAAAGCCUGAUCCAGCAAUGCCUCGUGCAGGAUGAAGGCCUUCGGGUUGUAAACUGCUUUUGUACGGAACGAAAAGCCCCGGGUUAAUACCCUGGGGUCAUGACGGUACCGUAAGAAUAAGCACCGGCUAACUACGUGCCAGCCGCCGCGGUAA